GUAAUGUAGAGUAUUCACCAUUAAUACUCAAUAUUACACUAUUUAGUUGGCAGCUUGGUGAUCAGCUUUUCAUGUAGGCUAUGAAAAUGGGCGACUUGAGGAGAGGAGACUCUUCGUAUUCUCCAAAAUCGAGCCCAAGGGGCUCUCGAUCGCCAGUGGUUCCACGCCAGGAUUCUACUGGUACUUUGAAAACUACAAUAUCAUUAGGAAGAACUCCAUCAAUAGUUCACAGUGGACCUUUCUACCUCAUGAAAGAACCUCCAAAAAGUGAACUGACUGGUGCAACUAAUUUGAUGUCCUAUUACAACUUGGAACAUUCCUAUAAUAAAUUUUGUGGCCGUAAAAUGAAAGAUCAACUAAGUGCAUUUCUUCCAAACCUCCCUGGAAAUAUUGAUGGUCCAGGAAACUUAGAUAACAGUUCUUUGAAGUCUCUCAUUGAAAAACCCCCUAUUGGAGGCAAAGAACUAUUGCCACUUACUGGAUCCCAGUUAUCAGGUUUUAGACUUCAUCCAGGCCCUCUUCCAGAACAGUAUCGCCUAAUGAGUCAGCAGCCACAAAAGAAAAAACAUAAACAUAAAAAGCACAAACAUAAAGCUGGUGAUACCCCAACGCAAGAAUCUCAACAAGAUAGUAAUUUAGAAGGUCCACAUGAAAAGAAACAUAAAAAGCAAAAAAGGCAUGAUGAAGAAAAAGAGAAAAAAAAGAAAAAGAAAGAGAAGAAGAAGAAAAAGGUUAUUUCUGAUUAACGGUUUUAAGUCUUAAGUUUCUUCUCAACCAGAUAAUUCCAAAAGAUUAAAAAAGCAUUGUCCAGACCCUACCACUGGUUCAUCCAUUAUUCCCACUCCUGGCACUCUGCCCCAUCCAAACGGAACUCCGAAGCCUCUUUGAAAAAUAAAUUAUCUAUUGUGUUUGCAUUCUGAAUGUGUUUUAUAUCUUGUGUAUAUAUGUUUUAACUUAUGUAUAGUAUUGUAUUUUAUAAGUGUUUGAAAUAUAAACUAAAUAAAUGUGCAUAAACAGAGCUUACAGAUUUGCAUUCUUGUGUGCAAAAGUUUAUAAACUUCAGAAUAUAUAUAAAAAUGAAAAAUUUAAAACAUCUUAUAUUAAAUAUUUUUUAUCUUAUUUUCUCUCAUAUAGUCAAAUAAUGUGGUAUAAUACCCAGAUAAUUAGUAAUAGGUUGUAGUAAAAUGUAGUUUUUAUUCAUAAUGUUUUAACUAUCAUUUACUGUUUUCCAUAAUGUAUUCAUCUUUUGUUACAAACGUUUGUUUAUAUACAUUUUAUCCUAUCCCAUUUUUCUGUGUGCAGUUUGUUCCAUGUGUUAAUUGCAGAUAAGCUAUUCAUUUUUGGUAAAUGUGUUUUGAAAAUCUAAAUAUCUUUUUUUUAAUGUUUAUUAUCUGAUUCAAAUAAGAAUUCAACAGCAUUAUUUAGUUGCAUGUUCCUCUUUGUAAAUAUUUAAAAUUCCAGUGCAGAAUUUUAGUCGCAUUUGAGGAAGUUUGCUCGAUUAAGACUUUGUUGAGUAGUACAUAUAUGAACAGGUGCUGUACCAAAAGUCAGUGAUUUUAAAAUCAUAUUUAAUCGUAUCAUCUAAUCUAAUUUAAUCUUCAUAGUUUAAUUAAAGGUUUUUCAGCCUUGUAUAGAUAGAGAGGAUAUAAGAGUUGAUAACAAAGGGCUCAAUUUUUAGCAAAUUUGCCAGCCAAAAUAAAAAAAAGUACUUUGGAAGUUUUAUAUUAAAUAUUUAUAUACGGAGGAUGCUUAUUUAAAGGCAAUGAGACAAGGAGCCAAUUAAAAUAUUUAUUUACAUAUUUCAAGUAUUCUUAAGACUCUUAGGUUUUUGCUGUUUAGUUUUCCCCUAUAAAAUAAACUUUUUUUUUCCCAGAGGUAUAAUUUUCAUCAUUAUGUCUUAUAACUGAAAUAUUAAUUUGAAAGUUCUAAUUGUAACUUUAAAUUGUUAUCACCUAAUUAAAUAUGUUUGUUCCAGUUUAUUGUCAUAAAUGUCACUAAAAGUAGUAUAAAAAAAUGCUAGUAACUUGGAAUUAUUACCUUUGUUACCCUCUUGUGUGAAUUUACCCAUAUUUUUAGAAAUUGAAGGGGAAAAAAAAAUGUGGAGCAUGUCUGUUGAUGAACCAAUCGCAGUAUAAUUUUAGCACUUUAGGUACUUGGACAUGAUCAUCAAUUCUUGCAUCUGUAUGUACACAAAGGAAAAUAUUUUAAUUAAAAGAAAGUUUUGUUUUACAUGUUUUAAUGAAAUAUUUUAUUUACUUUAUUAUUAUGAAAGAAAAAGCAGUGUGUUCCUCUUCCCCCCCCCUACUUUCCAUUUCCAAUUAGAUGCUGCAAUUCGAUGUAUUUCUCUUGCAUUUCAAAUUUCAUUGUCAGAUUUACCUUUUUAGUUGUUACAUUAUUUAUUAAAGUUAUAAUGAAGUCAUUCCAAUUUAAUUUACUAGCUUUUUAUAGUUAAAGAAUAUUCUUGCAGAUUUCCUGUGUGUAUAUAAAAUAAUUCAUAAAAUUGCACACUUUAAUUUUUUUUAACACUUUUGUUGUUCUUAAUUACUGAAGCAGAAGUAUUUAUAGUGCAUUUGAAAUGACAGCUUGGUGUAGCUUAUGAAACAAUAUUCAGUCUACUGAAUUUGGUACAUUUCAGAGAUUUAGUAUAAACUGAUACAGGAAAAGAAAAGGAUAUCUAUUUUUCAUGUAAAGCAUACUGUAACAAUGCUUCCCAUUAAAGUUUGGACUUGAAAUGGGAGCCUGAUCAAACUCUGAUACUUUACAAAAGCAUUUAUUCUUUUAUGUGCAUUAAAUGUUUGUUUCAAAAACAUUUUAUCAUUCUUAAUUUCAUCUUCAUAAUCUUAUUUUACUAGACCCUUUCUUUAUUUAAAGUAAAUUUACAAUUUUUAAACUAAUAUGGAAUCAUUCUAGGUACUUUUUAAAAAUCUAAUUGAUACAUUUGGACAGAAGUAAGAUGUUUUACUGAGGAGUAAAUAGUGAAUUUUGUCCGAAGUGACUUAUAUCUGGUACCUUGGUACAUAAAGAUGUAUUGAAACAGUAGGAAAAGAUUUUUAUAAUUGUUUGGCUGUAUGAAAUAUUUGAUACUAAGUGCUUGAUUUUGAUGUUUAGUGCUUGUAUGUUCAAGAAUAUAAAUAAAUAUUUAUGGUAAUUUUUGGAAAAAAAAAA